GAUGAACGCUGACAGAAUGCUUAACACAUGCAAGUCUACUUGAUCCUUCGGGUGAUGGUGGCGGACGGGUGAGUAACGCGUAAAGAACUUGCCCUGCAGUCUGGGACAACAUUUGGAAACGAAUGCUAAUACCGGAUAUUAUGUGAGUUUCGCAUGAAAUUCAUAUGAAAGCUAUAUGCGCUGCAGGAGAGCUUUGCGUCCUAUUAGCUAGUUGGUGAGGUAACGGCUCACCAAGGCGAUGAUAGGUAGCCGGCCUGAGAGGGUGAACGGCCACAAGGGGACUGAGACACGGCCCUUACUCCUACGGGAGGCAGCAGUGGGGAAUAUUGGACAAUGGACCAAAAGUCUGAUCCAGCAAUUCUGUGUGCACGAUGAAGUUUUUCGGAAUGUAAAGUGCUUUCAGUUGGGACGAAGUAAGUGACGGUACCAACAGAAGAAGCGACGGCUAAAUACGUGCCAGCAGCCGCGGUAAUACGUAUGUCGCAAGCGUUAUCCGGAUUUAUUGGGCGUAAAGCGCGUCUAGGCGGUUUGGUAAGUCUGAUGUGAAAAUGCGGGGCUCAACUCCGUAUUGCGUUGGAAACUGUCAAACUAGAGUACUGGAGAGGUGGGCGGAACUACAAGUGUAGAGGUGAAAUUCGUAGAUAUUUGUAGGAAUGCCGAUGGGGAAGCCAGCCCACUGGACAGAUACUGACGCUAAAGCGCGAAAGCGUGNGUAGCAAACAGG
rnacentral:rRNA from 1 species